UUAAAUGAUGAAAUAAGCACUGGGCUCUGAGCAGUAAAUAUACUGCUUAAUUUGAUGCACAUUGCUAGCCUAGAAAGCUAUGUCUGAUUU